rnacentral:rRNA from 1 species
AUGAUGAAUUGUGAAUUGGGAUCUAUCCCAAUGAAAUAUUUGGGAAUGGCAAUAUCCGCUAGGGCCCUCUCCAUGGGGGACUUCCAACAGAUGGUGGACAAGGCUGCGAAUAGGGUGGAACCGUGGCAGGGGAAACUUCUGGCCUCAAGAGGCCGGCUGGUGCUUGGCAAUGAUCGCCUCACAAACAUCCCUAUGUUUAUCAUGGGUUUCUACUUGUUUAGGGAUGGAAUUCAUGAUAAGUUGAAUAAGAUUAGCUCACGUUUCUUUGGGGCAAAGGAGAAUGGUAAACAAAAAUAUCACAUGGUCAGUUGGGACAACAUAUGCCGACCCAAGGAAGUGGGUGGUUUGGGGGUUAUUAACACCAAGAUCAUGAAUUGGUGUCUAAUGGCAAAAUGGGCAUGGAAAAUACUUUUCGGACAGGGAGGGUUAUGGUUAGAUAUUUUCCGCUCCAAGUACUUUCAACCAGGGAGCGUCGAGUUCCGGUCUAAUAUCAAGUUGUCUCAGUUUGCGAGGGAUAUUAAGAAGUUCCAGCCGCUACUUCGCCUCGGAACAAAAUUCGAAGUCCAUAAUGGCAAAACGACAUGUUUCAGAAAAGACUUGUGGUGGGGGACUCAAACCUUAUGUGCUGCAUUUCCGCUUCUAUUUGCUAUCUCGGAUAAGCCAGAUGCAAAGGUGGCCGAAAUAUUUGUCUGGAGUGCCGUCGAGGAAGUUAUGGGAUGCUCUUGGAAUCCUCGUGGCUUCUCGGACUUCUUCCGCUUAGCAAGCUCCACCAUGGGAAGGGAUAGGAGGAUGGCUUGGGUGGGAUUCGGGGUCAUCGCAUGGGCCCUUUGGACAACUAGAAAUAAAGCCUUCAUAGAGGAUCAAUUCAUUCGUCGUCCGGUUGAUCUCCUAUACAAAAUGGUGUCUUUCUUGCAGCUAUGGAAACUACUGGCAAGAAACUCGGACAUAGGACAGGUGGAGGAGCUCGCAAACAAGUAUAUGGAUGGAAUUCGUCUGGAACGGAAGCCAGCAAUUUCGGUGCAGAAAGUUGCUUUCUCACUCAGGCCAGGGCCAGGAGGCGAGGACGUGGACGCCAACCAAAACCCGGUCACGCACCAUAAAUACUCGGCUGCCUGCCAUCUACGGACCUCCUUUCUUUGCCGCAUCUGA